CAGAAAAGCCAGUUUUCUCAGUGUGUCAAAGAUCACCAUUUCAAAGGCCAUUUUGUCUAAGUUUAACUGGUUGUGUUUUUCUGGUUAACUCAAGUGACAUCUGUUCCCGAACUGUUCCUGACGGCAGUGAAGCUCAGCCACGAUGACACAGGAGCCAGGUAUUUACACCUGGCCAGAGAAGACACGAAUAAUCUGUUCAGGAUUCCUGAACAAUGGACGGUCAGCUCUCAUGUCCUGGUUCAUAUCGCCCCAGCACACCACGGCUAGAAACCUUUCAGCCAACUUCCACUUAUGUCUCCCUGGGCAGGACAAUGUCACUUGGCCAAUCCCCAAGAGGGACUCCGGAAAGGCUGGAGUUCAAUGGUGUAAUCUCGGCUCACUGCAACCUCUGCCUCCUGGAUUCAAGCAGUUCUACUGCCUCAGCCUUCCGAGUAGCUGGGAUUACAGAUUUCCUGUGAAGUGCAGAAGCACCGUCGUAGAAGCAGAGAAGCAGAGAUGCAGAGGCAGCGCUGGUGACUCACACAUGGAGAGCUGGA
rnacentral:lncRNA from 1 species